rnacentral:misc_RNA from 1 species
UAAUAUAAUAAUUAUCACGAUCUCACCGAUUGUGGAAUUGGGCUCUUAUUUCGAACAGAUUUAUGGCCUUAAAUUUACGCCAUGCGAUUAAUUCGAACCAAGCGGAGCAAUUAAACAUUCUCUCGUGGACGGAUUACUCGCAAGCCAUUACGGUUUUUUGGACGACAAAAAGCACUUUCACGAGCGCGAAGCCCAAGAUCGUAAAUUCAUCCUGAC